UACGUAGGGGGCAAGCGUUGUCCGGAAUUAUUGGGCGUAAAGAGCGCGCAGGCGGUCGUGCAAGUCGCGUGUGAAAGCCCCCGGCUCAACUGGGGAGGGUCACGCGAUACUGCUCGACUUGAAGGCAGGAGAGGGAAGUGGAAUUCCCGGUGUAGUGGUGAAAUGCGUAGAUAUCGGGAGGAACACCAGUGGCGAAGGCGACUUCCUGGACUGUUCUUGACGCUGAGGCGCGAAAGCUAGGGUAGCAAACGGG
rnacentral:rRNA from 1 species